AACAAACAAAACUAAAAUGAAUAUUUUUAUUCAGCGACAAAAACUAUUUUCUAAACAGUUAACAGAUGGAUAUACAUGGGAAGACCAAAACCUGACGUACAUAGUUUCUUGGCGGGUGCAGGGAUUGCAUAAUGCACGGUGAACAAUUCAUUCCCGUUAAUAUUAUCAAUAUCUAUGCUAGCCAUAAUCAGAUAAGUAUCUGAUCAAUUCUCAUAGUGUUAUGUACAACCUUGUGUAGAGGUAGUGGCUCCGGUGUCCAUACUGAUCAUUUCUAAACAAGAAAUUGAGAGAAAUGCAGUUACGAUGCAAUCAAUGGACCUGACAUCAUCGGAUUCCUGUUCUUGCUAGGUCAUAGCUGAACCAGUGAAUUCCAGUAGAACCUCGAAGGAGAGCAAUACAAUCUGAUCGUGGUCAGCAGCUGAAAGUUGAAUUAAAGAAACAUAUAUGUAAAUAAAUCUCAUACAUAUUGCGGCGUAUUGUAUCUUA